rnacentral:rRNA from 1 species
AGUUUGAUCAUGGCUCAGAUUGAACGCUGGCGGCAUGCCUUACACAUGCAAGUCGAACGGCAGCACGGGUGCUUGCUCCUGGUGGCGAGUGGCGAACGGGUGAGUAAUACAUCGGAACGUACCCUGAAGUGGGGGAUAACGUAGCGAAAGUUACGCUAAUACCGCAUAUUCUGUGAGCAGGAAAGAGGGGGAUCGCAAGACCUCUUGCUUUAGGAGCGGCCGAUGUCGGAUUAGCUAGUUGGUGAGGUAAAGGCUCACCAAGGCGACGAUCCGUAGCGGGUCUGAGAGGAUGAUCCGCCACACUGGGACUGAGACACGGCCCAGACUCCUACGGGAGGCAGCAGUGGGAAUUUUGGACAAUGGGCGCAAGCCUGAUCCAGCCAUGCCGCGUGAGUGAAGAAGGCCUUCGGGUUGUAAAGCUCUUUCGGUGGGGAAGAAAUUGCUUCGGUUAAUACCUGGAGUAGAUGACGGUACCCGCAUAAGAAGCACCGGCUAACUACGUG